rnacentral:rRNA from 1 species
AGUGAACGCUGGCGGUAGGCCUAACACAUGCAAGUCGAACGGCAGCACAGUAAGAGCUUGCUCUUACGGGUGGCGAGUGGCGGACGGGUGAGGAAUACAUCGGAAUCUACUUUUUCGUGGGGGAUAACGUAGGGAAACUUACGCUAAUACCGCAUACGACCUACGGGUGAAAGCAGGGGAUCUUCGGACCUUGCGCGAUUGAAUGAGCCGAUGUCGGAUUAGCUAGUUGGCGGGGUAAAGGCCCACCAAGGCGACGAUCCGUAGCUGGUCUGAGAGGAUGCUCAGCCACACUGUAACUGAGACACGGUCCAGACUCCUACGGGAGGCAGCAGUGGGGAAUAUUGGACAAUGGGCGCAAGCCUGAUCCAGCCAUACCGCGUGGGUGAAGAAGGCCUUCGGGUUGUAAAGCCCUUUUGUUGGGAAAGAAAAGCAGCAGGUUAAUACCCCGCUGUUCUGACGGUGCCCAAAGAAUAAGCACCGGCUAACUUCGUG